rnacentral:rRNA from 1 species
CCAGUGCUGGACCGUGUACAAGUCUCCUGGAAUGGAGCAUCAUAGAGGGUGAGAAUCCCGUCUUUGACAUGGACUACCAGUGUGUUAUGGUAUGCUCUCAAAGAGUCGAGUUGUUUGGGAAUGCAGCUCAAAAUGGGUGGUAAAUGCCAUCUAAAGCUAAAUAUUGGCGAGAGACCGAUAGCGAACAAGUACCGUGAGGGAAAGAUGAAAAGAACUUUGGAAAGAGAGUUAAACAGUACGUGAAAUUGCUGAAAGGGAAACGCUUGAAGUCAGUCACGUUGGCUAGAAAUCAGCCUUGCUUUUGCUUGGUGUAUUUUCUAGUUCUACGGGUCAGCAUCAAUUUUGAUCAUUGGAUAAAGUCUUUGGGAAUGUGGCAUCUUUGGAUGUGUUAUAGCCCAUUGUCGCAUACAGUGGUUGGGAUUGAGGAACUCAGCAUGCCGCAAGGCCGGGUCAUUUGACCACGCUUGUGCUUAGGAUGCUGGCAUAAUGGCUUUAAUCGACCCGUCUUGAAACACGGACCAAGGAGUCUAACAUGCCUGCGAGUGUUUGGGUGGAAAACCCAUGCGCGUAAUGAAAGUGAAAGUUGAGAUCUCUUUGGAGAGCAUUGACGCCCAGACCAGACCUUCUGUGACGGAUCUGCGGUAGAGCAUGUAUGUUGGGACCCGAAAGAUGGUGAACUAUGCCUGAAUAGGGUGAAGCCAGAGGAAACUCUGGUGGAGGCUCGUAGCGAUUCUGACGUGCAAAUCGAUCGUCAAAUUUGGGUAUAGGGGCGAAAGACUAAUCGAACCAUCUAGUANCUGGUUCCUGCCGAAGUUUCCCUCAGGAUAGCARAAACUCMUAUCAAAUUUAUGUGGUAAAGCGAAUGAUUARAGGCCUUGGGGUUGAA